CCUACGGGGGGCAGCAGUGAGGAAUAUUGGUCAAUGGACGAGAGUCUGAACCAGCCAAGUAGCGUGAAGGAUGACUGCCCUAUGGGUUGUAAACUUCUUUUAUAUGGGAAUAAAAUGUUCCACGUGUGGGAUUUUGUAUGUACCAUAUGAAUAAGGAUCGGCUAACUCCGUGCCAGCAGCCGCGGUAAUACGGAGGAUCCGAGCGUUAUCCGGAUUUAUUGGGUUUAAAGGGAGCGUAGGUGGAUUGUUAAGUCAGUUGUGAAAGUUUGCGGCUCAACCGUAAAAUUGCAGUUGAAACUGGCAGUCUUGAGUACAGUAGAGGUGGGCGGAAUUCGUGGUGUAGCGGUGAAAUGCUUAGAUAUCACGAAGAACUCCGAUUGCGAAGGCAGUUCACUGGACUGCUACUGACACUGAGGCUCGAAAGUGUGGGUAUCAAACAGGAUUAGAUACCCUUGUAGUC
rnacentral:rRNA from 1 species